ACUCCUACGGGAGGCAGCAGUUGGGAAUCUUGCACAAUGGGGGAAACCCUGAUGCAGCGACGCCGCGUGGAGGAUGAAGGAUUUCGGUCUGUAAACUCCUUUUACAGGGAAAGACUUAGGACGGUACCCUGUGAAUAAGCUCCGGCUAACUACGUGCCAGCAGCCGCGGUAAU
rnacentral:rRNA from 1 species